AAACGCUUAAAGUCAGUCGCGUCGAUCGAGACUCAGCCUUGCCUCGGCUUGGUGUACUUCUCGGCUUGACGGGUCAGCAUCAAUUUUGAGCCUUGGAUAAUGGCAGGGGAAAGGUAGCACCUUUAUAGGUGUGUUAUAGUCCUCUGUCGCAUACAAGGGUCAGGAUUGAGGAACUCAGCAUGCACCUUUGGGUGUCGGGGCCUUGGCCCACGCAACGUGCUUAGGAUGUUGGCAUAAUGGCUUUAAACGA
rnacentral:rRNA from 1 species